GCAUAAGAUAUUAAAUAAUUGAAUCUUCCAAAUAUCCUAAACUACAUAAGAAUAAAGGCAAAUUUUGUUUCCAUCCUGGACUUGGAUGAAAACUUCAGAGAGCUUGCUUUACUGACUUUUAUUUGUUGUAGUAUUAAUAGACAAUCUUUAGAUAAAAGACUUGUUCAGAUCAAGGUUCCCACACCACUAUAAAAAAAUACAAUUAUAGAAAAUCAUCAGAAGUAAUAUCUAUUUCAGAAAAGAGUCUACCAUCUCAUGCCCUUUGAGCUCUGUGUUUUCCAGGUUAGAGAAAACAAAAGAGGUGCUAUGCUAUAGACACACGUUACUAAGCCUAACAUCUUCCCCGCAUCCUCACUUAAAGACAUAAAACCAUGCAUCAUUAUUGUUUAUUAGCUCGGGAAAUGCUUUGGUCGUUCUGGUACCUGCUUUGGCUUCUGAUUUAGCCCACAGCUGACUCACAGUUUCAUGACGUUGGUUUUGCUGACUCAUUAAUCACAUGGGUUAGUGAUGUAUUCUUCCCUCAUAAAUGACCAUAAAGCUUUGUAAAUUGAGCUGGUCAACAACAAAAGAGACAAAGCCUCAGAAUAAAUGAUUCUGGAGAGUUUAAAUAUUUGGCUCUGUCUUUCUUUGCCAGCAGAAGUUGAAUAAAGUGAUCAUCAAUUCAAUGAUAUCUUUAUAAUAAACUUGUCCAUGGUGUCUAUUCUGUGCUUAGGGCUGGGGAUGCAUAAGACCUUGCAUUUCUAUCAGGGAGGGGUGUUAGCUCAUUCCUAAAGGGGCUCCAUGGCAACUCAAAAGAAUAGGCAGUUCAGAAUGAGACAAGAGUGAGUUUGAAUUCUAAUUUUACCUCUUGCGAGUUGUUUGAACGUAGACAAGAUGCUGAGUAACCCAAAGCCCUGUUUCUCCAUCUAUAAAAGGUACAGACUAAUGGUUUUAAGAAUUAUGAAAUAUAUAAAAUGUCUUACAUAGUGGCUAGCUUAUAAUAAGCACUUUAAAAUGAUAAUUUCUUUCCUUGCUUUACUCCCUUACAUCUAGACUUACUCAUCACAGAAAGGCACUUAUGAGGUCCUUUUUCUACGCUGUGCCUUGGAUGAGCUGGGCUACUGUUCUGCUUGUGUGUUGGUAGUCAAUUAUCUUGUCAUCUUUUGGACCCUUAUUAUGUAGCUUUUCUUCUCCUCUAAUUGACGCAUGCUUUCUUUGACAUGAAGGGUAGAAAACAUCAGCAUUUUCCAUAAAUGACUAGGACACUCAAUAGUUAAUAAAAAUUUUAACUUUGAGAAUUUUUACUAAUUGAGAGGUUACCAGAAAGCAAUAUGGAUCUAAAGCAGGGGUCAGCAAACUAUGGCCCUCAGACCAAAUCUGGUCUAUUGCCAGUGUUUGUAAGCAAAGUUUUAUUGGAACACAGCCAUAUAUUUGUUUACAUAUUGUCUAUAGCUGCUUUCCCAACACAAUGGCAGAGUUGAGUAGUUGUGACAGAGACCAUAUGGCUGAAAGCCUAAAAUAUUUACUAUUUGGCCUUUUAUAGAAAAUAUUUGAUGAUGCUUGAUCUAAAGAGUUGAUCUCUGGAGGCAACCUUUGGGACUAGACUCCUGAAAGUCUAAACUGAUAAAUAUUUUUGUGGAAAUAUAUUAGACUUAAGAAAAAAAUAAACCCCAGAAUGUGGGAAAGAAUUGCCUGGGGGAUCUAGAACUAAGUCACAAUUCCAGUGAGUUUAACUAAGGUGGGGGGAGAAGAUAGGCAUGAAUUCAGGGAUAGGAGUCAAAAAGCAUAAAUUCCUUUCAUAGCUUCAUCACUUUCAAGCCACGUGACCUUGAACAAAUGACCUUGCUCUUGAAGAAUUGGUUCCUUAACCUGUAAAAUAAGAAUUGCAGUAAUCCGUCUGUCAGAGAAUUUUUCUAAGAGUCAAUGAGGUAAAAUACUCUAUAAAAUUUAAAGCGUUAUACAAAUAUUAUUUUUAUAUAGUUAUAAUAAGCACUUAAAAUAUGUUUGCUGAAUGAAUUGAAUUAAUACGAGAAUUACAUCUGUAAGGUUGUUGGUAAAUUUCUAGGAUUGUGCAUCACAGUAUAUGUUGUUUUAACAGCCAAGUGUGGGUUAAAUUUAUCCUUGCCCAAGGUUCCAAUUAUAUUUUCUUCUUAACUCAAAUGGUAUUUUAAGCUUUUAAAUUUCAGGUGAACUUCCAACACAGAUACUUUCUAAUACCUGUAGACAAUGUUCCAGGCAUAAAAUGUUGAAAGUCAUGAAGUGCCAUUAUACCAGCUCCAUAUUGAUCCAUGGCAACAGGAUUAAACCUCGUUUACUCUCCCACAGGGAUUAUUCCAUCACUGGGUCUGGAACAACCAGGCUGUCUCAGAACCAUUAGGGCCACGUUGAAUAAAAACCUUCUUCAUUCUUCCUUAGGCCUAGGGCUGAUGACACCCUGGCAAUUUAGGUAAAACUCUCUGUGUUCCUACCCCCAUGACUCUUCUAGGCAUGAAGCAGAAGUACAAUGCUCACCACAUUGAUUUGUAGGUAUCUACAUGUAAUAUCUCUCCGAAGGUCCAGGAAGAAUCCAGUUGCUUGUGCCCCAGGGAUGGGAGGAGAGGAAGAGUUAGGCAGUUAAGAUGAUGAUAGAGAAGGAAGUCUGCUUUGAGGAGGAAAAAUAUGGGUUCUUCCUUCCCCAGCACCUGACCUCAGUGAGAUUGCCCGUCCCUCACUCCCACAGCCUGGAACCCCAUUGCAGCACCAAUUCUCUACAACUGGCAGGCAUGUUGGUCCCACACUGUUAGAGCUGAUUGGGCUAUUUCUGCAUUAUAUCAGGACUGAAGAUUAUGAGAAAGAUAACAAACAGAUAUGAUGGUGGUACGAAGCAAAAAAUUAAAGAUUCCAGACAGCAGUACCAGGAGGCCAGCAAAAUCCUUGGCAGCAGCCUCUUCCAAUAAAUCAGCAUGUCAGAAGAAACAAUGACCCUUCCCAUGGUACAGGAACAAAACCACAAACUCUCCAAGGUGGACCUGGAACAGAAGUCUCCAAGACAACCUCAAUACAUCUCAUUCCUUUCCCAUUCAUCGAGGGCAAGUACAAGAGGUGAUGGAAUUUCUUCAACUUUAUCAAGAGGCUCACCAAUCCAGAACGACCCUCGGAAACCCAGAUAAGAGAGUGAAUUAAUUGCCCAUUGUAAAUAUCAGUAUCCUUUCGCCAACCCACCAACUGUUAUUCUCUGAUGUGAAUGGGAAAAUCUCCAGGACGUAAAGGAGGGUAGAUUCACUGGCAGAAGGUGCCUUGGUCCCUGAAUGACUACAUGGAGCACUGUCCUGUCCCCUCCCUACAACUGUCACUGGACUCUGACAUGAUUUUGCACAUUUAUAUGAGGAUGUGAUGCCUGGAACUACAACAGCGACCUUGUCUUCAUUAAGAGAAAAAUCUGAAAGCAAAAAAUGACAGGCUACAGAUGGCUAAGGCUGUGGAGCCAGUUCUGGAAGCAACCUAUUACCAGAAGUGUUUUAGGGGACAAGACUCUUGGGUGGCCAGAACUGAAGACUCAGAAAUGACAGCCCUCUUACCCUCCGAGGUACUGACUGAGACGUAGGAAGUUCCAUCCACAAGGUGCUGUGUUGUGCAGGGUCCGAGAGGACCUGGCUCAGGAUUCUGACUAGACACUCUAAACGUUUUGUACUCUGGGGAAAGCAACGCUCCCUCAGCUUCUGUUUCUUUAGUUUUAAAAGCAAAGAGCCUUUACUAGAUGGUGUCUCGCAUUUCUACUAUAGUGCAAUAAUUUAUUCUUUUCUGUUUUGUUUCAUACCAGUUGACUGUGCAAAAAAAUAAAAAGAAACUGACAUGCAUAAAUAAAUAAAGGUACUUGUGAAUGUCUCUUUUCAUAUAUAUGCCCCAAGUUCUAAUUGUACAGAACUGAACGCUGCAGCCAUGAGGACUUCUCUGCAUCACAGAGGUAGCAUCAUACAAAAGUAGGCCUACAAACACUCUGACAAAUCAAACUUGUUCCAGAACCAAGUCAUUAGAUGGUUCGA
rnacentral:lncRNA from 1 species